rnacentral:rRNA from 1 species
GAUCAUGGCUCAGAUUGAACGCUGGCGGCAGGCCUAACACAUGCAAGUCGAGCGGCAUCGGGAAGGUAGCUUGCUAUCUUUGCCGGCGAGCGGCGGACGGGUGAGUAAAGUCUGGGGAUCUGCCUGAUGGAGGGGGAUAACUACUGGAAACGGUAGCUAAUACCGCAUGAUGUUACGCGACCAAAGCGGGGGACCUCCGGGCCUCGCGCCAUCAGAUGAACCCAGAUGGGAUUAGCUAGUAGGAGAGGUAAUGGCUCCCCUAGGCGACGAUCCCUAGCUGGUCUGAGAGGAUAACCAGCCACACUGGAACUGAGAGACGGUCCAGACUCCUACGGGAGGCAGCAGUGGGGAAUAUUGCACAAUGGGCGCAAGCCUGAUGCAGCCAUGCCGCGUGUGUGAAGAAGGCCUUCGG